rnacentral:rRNA from 1 species
AAAUUGAAGAGUUUGAUCAUGGCUCAGAUUGAACGCUGGCGGCAGGCCUAACACAUGCAAGUCGAGCGGUAGCACAGAGAGCUUGCUCUCGGGUGACGAGCGGCGGACGGGUGAGUAAUGUCUGGGAAACUGCCUGAUGGAGGGGGAUAACUACUGGAAACGGUAGCUAAUACCGCAUAACGUCGCAAGACCAAAGUGGGGGACCUUCGGGCCUCAUGCCAUCAGAUGUGCCCAGAUGGGAUUAGCUGGUAGGUGGGGUAACGGCUCACCUAGGCGACGAUCCCUAGCUGGUCUGAGAGGAUGACCAGCCACACUGGAACUGAGACACGGUCCAGACUCCUACGGGAGGCAGCAGUGGGGAAUAUUGCACAAUGGGCGCAAGCCUGAUGCAGCCAUGCCGCGUGUGUGAAGAAGGCCUUCGGGUUGUAAAGCACUUUCAGCGGGGAGGAAGGCGAUAAGGUUAAUAACCUUGUCGAUUGACGUUACCCGCAGAAGAAGCACCGGCUAACUCCGUGCCAGCAGCCGCGGUAAUACGGAGGGUGCAAGCGUUAAUCGGAAUUACUGGGCGUAAAGCGCACGCAGGCGGUCUGUCAAGUCGGAUGUGAAAUCCCCGGGCUCAACCUGGGAACUGCAUUCGAAACUGGCAGGCUAGAGUCUUGUAGAGGGGGGUAGAAUUCCAGGUGUAGCGGUGAAAUGCGUAGAGAUCUGGAGGAAUACCGGUGGCGAAGGCGGCCCCCUGGACAAAGACUGACGCUCAGGUGCGAAAGCGUGGGGAGCAAACAGGAUUAGAUACCCUGGUAGUCCACGCUGUAAACGAUGUCGAUUUGGAGGUUGUGCCCUUGAGGCGUGGCUUCCGGAGCUAACGCGUUAAAUCGACCGCCUGGGGAGUACGGCCGCAAGGUUAAAACUCAAAUGAAUUGACGGGGGCCCGCACAAGCGGUGGAGCAUGUGGUUUAAUUCGAUGCAACGCGAAGAACCUUACCUGGUCUUGACAUCCACAGAACUUUCCAGAGAUGGAUUGGUGCCUUCGGGAACUGUGAGACAGGUGCUGCAUGGCUGUCGUCAGCUCGUGUUGUGAAAUGUUGGGUUAAGUCCCGCAACGAGCGCAACCCUUAUCCUUUGUUGCCAGCGGUUCGGCCGGGAACUCAAAGGAGACUGCCAGUGAUAAACUGGAGGAAGGUGGGGAUGACGUCAAGUCAUCAUGGCCCUUACGACCAGGGCUACACACGUGCUACAAUGGCAUAUACAAAGAGAAGCGACCUCGCGAGAGCAAGCGGACCUCAUAAAGUAUGUCGUAGUCCGGAUUGGAGUCUGCAACUCGACUCCAUGAAGUCGGAAUCGCUAGUAAUCGUAGAUCAGAAUGCUACGGUGAAUACGUUCCCGGGCCUUGUACACACCGCCCGUCACACCAUGGGAGUGGGUUGCAAAAGAAGUAGGUAGCUUAACCUUCGGGAGGGCGCUUACCACUUUGUGAUUCAUGACUGGGGUGAAGUCGUAACAAGGUAACCGUAGGGGAACCUGCGGUUGGAUCACCUCCUUACCUUAAAGAA